AGCUCGACCCCUGCUUCUAUGCAGUUUUGAUGUCCUUGAAAAUGAUACGUUUCAUUUGUCUUCCUUGAUUUACAGAUCCUGCCUUGUCAGGUGUUUCAUGGAUUUUUCUGCACCAGCAGUCCUGAGUCGUUUCUAAAGGAGUGUGAAAGCUCUAAGUCGCGACGCCUUCGAUUUAUGGUCCCUGCUCUAUUCUCCAACUCCAAACCCAGCCUCUUAAAGAAUUCACCAAGCCUAACUCAGAGGAGUAUUCACCUGCCUGUCCACCCUCCAACGUCCCCCUCAAGUCACAAUGGAGCUUCACCGCAGAAAAAGGGACAACACCAACUGGAGAUUACUGGAACUAACCCGCUCAUGGCCUGCCAACCACAGACACUGUGGAGAAGGACUUAUUCCCCACUGUCUAGUUCAAACCACCAACUCAAUUAAUUCCAGUCCGAUCCACUGACCCAGUCCUGGUUGCUGUUCAUCCACUACUCUGGCUUUAAGAAUAAACAGUUUUAAAACAUA